rnacentral:lncRNA from 1 species
AUGGACAACUGCCUUUCCCCAGAGUGGGUUUAUUUGUCAGCAGUGUUCAGGGGCCAUGAAAGUGCCAGGCUGUCCCUGGUGGGGAGGCCAUGGGUUUCCCCACAGGUGUCUUGCCCCCAGAAGACUCAGGGCCUGGCAGAGCUGGAGGACAGAAUUUGUAUCUUGGAUUUCAGGGAAACUGUUGAUUCCAUCCUAAGUGCAGACAUUUCGGAAUCCCUCCGAAGACGUGUUGUUUUGCAAAUGAUAGAAAUAAGUUUUGGGACAGGUCAUGCCCCAGGCACCCCCCCCCCCCCCCGCCCAGCCCUUAUCCUUUGCUUCUUAAGGUUUCCUGCGUGGACUGGGAUAGCUGGAUUUCAGAAUGUUCCCCUGGCCAGUGUUAGUUGGGAUUCCCGGGCCCUUCACCUUGUGAUUGGGCAUUUCCCACAAUUAAUCUCUACCCUGUUAAGAUGUAGAAAGUAGAAUGGACCAGUUUUGCCUGCAAGUGAAAGUAAUAAUUCAGGUGAUUACGCACAAGGAACUUUGUGGGGAGAGUUUAAGUUUCCUGUUACAUGUGUCAGCAUGAAAACAUAUAGUCACCUUCACCAAGAUGCAAAGGAUAAGGUGUGUUAAGAGAACGCUACACAUUUGUGGUAAGUCAACCCACCUUCAUUUAAGGGACAAUUUCUGGGACUGCAGUAUCGUUAACCAGAAAACCUAAUUGCUCGAAACUAUGUCUUACACACAGUCUCCAGCCACAUGGCCAGGACCGGCAAGAGACCCCAUUAGAAUAAAACCCUGGAGGGAAUGUUUGAGAAAAUGUGU